rnacentral:ncRNA from 1 species
ACAAUGAUACUUCCGUAAUUCGCGGCCCGGUCAGAAACGCAGACGGGGUGGCUGAGACUCCAAUGG